UUGGGAAUCUUGGACAAUGGAGGAAACUCUGAUCCAGCCAUGCCGCGUGAGUGAUGAAGGCCUUCGGGUUGUAAAACUCUUUCGACGGGGACGAUAAUGACGGUACCCGUAGAAGAAGCUCCGGCUAACUUCGUGCCAGCAGCCGCGGUAAUACGAAGGGGGCUAGCGUUGUUCGGAAUUACUGGGCGUAAAGCGCGCGCAGGCGGCCGAUCAAGUCAGGGGUGAAAGCCCGGAGCUCAACUCCGGAAUUGCCUUUGAAACUGAUCGGCUUGAGUACGGGAGAGGUGAGUGGAAUUCCCAGUGUAGAGGUGAAAUUCGUAGAUAUUGGGAAGAACACCGGUGGCGAAGGCGGCUCACUGGCCCGUUACUGACGCUCAGGCGCGACAGCGUGGGGAUCAAAC
rnacentral:rRNA from 1 species